UGAACGCUGGCGGCGUGCUUAACACAUGCAAGUCGAGCGAGAAGUUUUGAAAAGAUUCUUCGGAUGAAAUUUAAAAUGGAAAGCGGCGGACGGGUGAGUAACGCGUAGGCAACCUGCCCCAUACAAAGGGAUAGCAUUUGGAAACGAAUAUUAAUACCUUAUGAAACUUAACUAGUGCAUGCUAGGUAGGUCAAAGAUUUAUCGGUAUGGGAUGGGCCUGCGUCUGAUUAGCUAGUUGGUGAGGUAACGGCUCACCAAGGCGACGAUCAGUAGCCGACCUGAGAGGGUGAACGGCCACAUUGGAACCGAGACACGGUCCAAACUCCUACGGGAGGCAGCAGUGGGGAAUAUUGCACAAUGGGGGAAACCCUGAUGCAGCAACGCCGCGUGAACGAUGAAGGCCUUUGGGUCGUAAAGUUCUGUUCUAGGUGAUGAAAACUGACAGUAACCUAGGAGAAAGCCCCGGCUAACUCCGUG
rnacentral:rRNA from 1 species